AGGCGCUCUACAUUCCAGUCAGACUAAGUUUGAGCUUUUUGACAAAGCAGGAUGAGUCAACAGAUCAUUCUCAUAUUUUGAUGAACUAAACAUGGGUUUCAGAACAAAGGUGAAAGUGUGAAAUGAUGGGCGUGCCGUGGUGGCAUAGGGCGUGGCGCGACCCGUAUUUGGAGGUCUUGAGUCCUCGACGCGGCCGUCGCGGGUUCGACUCCCGGACCCGACGAUAUUUGCCGCAUGUCUUCCCCCCUCUCCUUCCCUGUUUCCUGUCGACCCGCUAUCAUAUAGGGGACACUAGGACACUAGAGCCCACAAAAAAUACCCCCUGGAGGGGUUAAAA